rnacentral:rRNA from 1 species
UACGUAGGUGGCAAGCGUUGUCCGGAUUUAUUGGGUUUAAAGGGUGCGUAGGCGGUCGGGUAAGUCUGGCGUGAAAUCUCCAAGCCUAACUUGGAAACUGCGUUGGAUACUAUCCGGCUCGAGGAAUGGAGGGGAGACUGGAAUACUUGGUGUAGCAGUGAAAUGCGUAGAUAUCAAGUGGAACACCAGUGGCGAAGGCGAGUCUCUGGACAUUUCCUGACGCUGAGGCACGAAAGCCAGGGGAGCAAACAGG